rnacentral:lncRNA from 1 species
GGAACACCGACUGAUGAAAUGAUUAUAACAUUUGUAAUUUUGUAGUUUAAUUUAUAAAUAAAAGAAAUAAAAUUAUCUUUUCUUGAAUCUUAAUUUUCAAAUUAUGUCAAAGAAGUUUGAUAUAUAUUUCCCAAAGGAAAAGCGGCAAUUGACAGACCAUCCCAGGCGGCUGAAACUGUAAAUACAUCACUGAAACUCGAAUAAUAUCUUGACUGUACCAUAAUAAUGAUAAUAAUAAUAAUGCGACAUAUGAAGCCCCUUAAAACUAGAUGUUUCCGUGGCUGCCGAGUUCGCUCAUGCGUUAAAAUGCCAGUGCCCACUAAACCCCAUUCUUCAACCUUCCGGUUGACUCCAUCACCAGCUCUACCAGUGACGACCAGCCUACAAUGGACUCUAAAAGUGGCUGCCACCAAAAGCAUGACAUGUGCGAUUCAGAGACAUAAUUAAAACCUAACUAAUUAAUUAAUUAUAAAAUAUAAUUCAACAAUAAAAAUAGCAAUUGUAGGAUUUACAUGGGGUUUGGUUGUUUAGUUUAAUUACACCAACGAAUCUGCAAAAGCGAUACACAAAGUAUCAAUAAUUAUAGAACCUACUACAUUUUUGAAGGAGACUGGACUCUAUUUCCCAUAAUAAAUAUUCUGGAGAAGUGGAAGCCUAAAUCGAUGCCGGAUUGCAAUGUUCAGGUUGAAGUCUAAGUUUCAAGGUAGCCACCUGACAGAUAUUAUAGUAAUUUAUUCAUUGCCAAAUAAAUUUGAAACAAAACCACUUGUUACAUUAUUAAAUAAAAAGACAAUAAAUCGAAAAGUGGACUGAUUCAAAUAUCUCAUAAUUUUAUUCAGUUAAAGACAAUUGUCUUAAUAAUCAUAUAGAGAUGAAAGCUAAGCACUGCAAUUAUAAUUUCUAAAAAUAUUAUUGAGAUUUUGUUACCAAAUAUUGUAAUUGAUAUUGGUCUAUAGUGUCUGGCAACACAUUUUUGUAACCAUAUGUUUUUUUUUUUUUUUUUUGAUAUUAUACAAAUAAUUCUUAGCCAUAACUACCAAUCAUCGGCGGCCGGAUGGCCGACGGGUUCGGGUCCCGGGUCUGGUAACUCCUGAAAAGUUUUUUCGGGCUGCUGGGCCCGUGCCGGCCAUCCCCGUCCUUCACCAUCCAGCCCCCAUCCAUAGGUGUGGGUGCAGCCCGUGAUUGGAACUGGCCCUG